GGGCUUAUUUCAGCAGCACAUGUAAUAAAAUUGGAACAAUAUAGAGAAGAUUAGCAUGGUCCCUGCAUAAGGAUGACACACAAGUUUGUAAAGCAUUCCCAUAUUUU